rnacentral:lncRNA from 1 species
CACACACCCACAUCCCCACACACCCACAUACACACCCACACACACCCACCCACACACACUCACACACACCCACACACACACACACACCCACACACACCUACACACACCCACACCCACAUCCCCACACACACUCACACACACCCACCCACACACACACAUCCCCACACACCCACACACACUCACCCACAUCCCCACACACACCCACACACAGACUUCAUGUAUUUCUUAGUGUAGAGUAAGUGUGUCUAGCAUGAUUACGAGUCAUCCAGGUCUCUAUGGUAACCCAAUCCCUGACCAUAAACAUAAUAAAGUAAACAUGAAGGUUCCGCUGGGUUAUGAUGAUACUGCAGCUACGGUUAUCUGUAUCCUGUUUAUUACCGUAUCAAAGCUGCGUCAUCCUGUUUCAUCAGGCUUUAUGGGCAGAGAUCAUCUCGUGUUCCACUUCCAGAAGCACUUAGAUCUCGAUCUGAUACUUCACAACGAUGUGGGAAUCCUUUUUUUUUUUUUUAUAUAUUUAUAUAUACAGUCUACGGUGUGGAAUGUACGGCUAGUCACCGGGAAGAAUGAAAAGACUGUUCUCUUUUAAAAAAAUUUUUUUUUAAAGGCACCAGUUACCCUCCAGUGGAUCGAGAGACAGGCCUACAGGCAGGCAGACUGACUGACUGGCAGGCAGGCAGGCAGGCAGGCAGGCAGGCUGACUGACUGACUGACUGACUGACUGACUGACUGACUGACUGACUGACUGACUGACUGACUGACUGACUGACUGACUGGCGGGCGGGCGGGCAGGCGGAGAGAGAGAGAGAGAGAGACAGAGAGAGAGAGAGAGCGAACGAACUCAAAUGAAUAGGUUUUCCAUGCAACAGCCGUACUGUACUUUAUGAGUGGUGGACGGUGGUGUUCUCUGGGCUGGCCAGUCUAAGUCCCAGCAGAGGAAAUGCGUGGGAGUCUGUGCAUGCAUCCCAAAUGGUAUCCUAUUACCUAGUGCACUAUAUAGGGAAUAGGGUACCAUUUGAAACACUCCAGAUGGGGAAGGAUCAGGACUGGAGUGGGCUGCUCUGUCAAAAAACUACUGUCAGACUACAGUACUUUGUCAUUGGCUGAAUUAAGAAACAGCACUUCAUCUCAGCGGUGUUGAUUUAGCUCUCACUGCAUCUCAGCGGUGUUCAUUUAGCUCUCACUUCAUCUCAGCGGUGUUCAUUUAGCUCUCACUGCAUCUCAGCGGUGUUAAUUUAGCUCUCACUGCAUCUCAGCGGUGUUAAUUUAGCUCUCACUUCAUCUCAGCGGUGUUUAUUUAGCUCUCACUUCAUCUCAGCGGUGUUCAUUUAGCUCUCACUUCAUCUCAGCGGUGUUCAUUUAGCUCUCACUGCAUCUCAGCUGUGUUAAUUUAGCUCUCACUUCAUCUCAGCGGUGUUCAUUUAGCUCUCACUUCAUCCCAGCGGUGUUCAUUUAGCUCUCACUUCAUCCCAGCGGUGUUCAUUUAGCUCUCACUUCAUCUCAGUGUUGUUCAUUUAUUUCUCACUUCAUCUCAGCUGUGUUUCAUUUAGCUCUCACUUCAUCUCAGCGGUGUUCAUUUAGCUCUCACUUCAUCUCAGCGGUGUUCAUUUAUUUCUCACUUCAUCUAGCGGUGUUCAUUUAGCUCUCACUUCAUCUCAGCGAUAUUCAUUUAGCUCUCAAUUCAUCUCAGCGUUGUUCAUUUACCUCUCACCUUCACAGAUAACAUAACCAGCCUGUCUAAUGGACUGUAGGGUGUAUCUGUGUCUCUUAAACUAGUGCAGUAGUUCAUAUUCAUGGAGUGUACCAGUCAAAAGUUUGGACACAGCUUCUCAUUCAAGGGUUUUCUUUAUUUUUACUAUUUUCUACAAUGGUGAAGACAUCAAAACUAUGAAAUAACACAUAUGGAAUCAUGUAGUAACCAAAAAAGUGUUAAAUAAAUCACUAUAUAUUUUAGAUUCUUCAAAGUAGCCACCCUUUGCCUUGAUGACAGCUUUGCACACUCUUGUCAUUCUCUCAACCAGCUUCACCUGGAAUGCUUUUUCCAACCGUCUUGAAGAGGUUCUCACAUAUGCUGAGCACUUGUUGGCUGCUUUUCCUUCACUCUGCUGUCCAACUCAUUCCAAACCAUCUCAAUUGGGUUGAUGUCAGGUGAUUGUGGAGGCCAGGUCAUUUGAUGCAGCACUCCAUCACUCUCCUUCUUGGUCAAAUAGCCCUUACACAGCAUGGAGGUGUGUUGGGUCAUUGUCCUGUUGAAAAAUAAAUGAUAGUCCCACUAAGCCCAAACCAGAUGGGAUGGCGUAUCGCUGCAGAAUGUUGUUGUAGCCUUGCUGGUUAAGUGUGCCUUGAAUUCUAAAUAAAACACAGACCGUAUCACCAGCAAAGCACCAUCACACCUCCUCCACCAUGCUUCACGAUGAGAACCACACAUGCGGAGAUCAUCCGUUCACCUACUCUGCGUCUCACAAAGACACAGCGGUUGAAACCAAAAAUCUGAAAUUUGGACUCAUCAGACCAAAGGACAGAUUUCCACUGGUCUAAUGUCCAUUGCUCGUGUUUCUUGGCCCAAGCAAGUCUCUUCUUCUUAUUGGUGUCCUUUAGUAGUGGUUUCUUUGCAGCAAUUCUACCAUGAAGGCCUGAUUCACACAGUCUCCUCUGAACAGUUUAUGUUGAGAUGUGUCUGUUACUUGAACUCUGAAGCAUUUAUUUGAACUUAUCCUCUGCAGCAGAGGUAACUCUGGGUCUUCCUUUCCUGUGGUGGUCCUCAUGAGAGCCAGUUUCAUCAUAAUGCUUGAUGGUUUUUGCAACUGCAAAGUUCUUGACAUUUUCUGGACUGACUGACCUUCAUGUCUUAAAGUAAUGAUGGACUAUCAUUCCUCUUCGCUUAUUUGAGCUGUUCUUGCCAUAAUAUGGACUUGGUCUUUUACCAAAUAGGGCUAUCUUCUGUAUACCACCCCUACCUUGUCACAACACAACUGAUUGGCUCAAACGCUAUAAGAAGGAAAUACAUUCCACAAAUUAACUUUUAACAAGGCACACCUGUUAAUUAAAAUGCAUUCCAGGUGACUACCUCAUGAAGCUGGUUGAGAGAAUGCCAAGAGUGUGCAAAGCUGUCAUC